AGAGUUUGAUCCUGGCUCAGAAUGAACGUUGGCGGCGUGGAUUAGGCAUGCAAGUCGAGCGUGUACCCCGCAAGGGGGAAAGCGGCGAAAGGGACAGUAACACGUAGAUUACCUACCUUCUGGUUCAGGAUAGCCGCGGGAAACUGCGGGUAAUACUGAAUAACGUCUCCGGACCAAAGGUGUGAUUCCACCGGAGGAUGGGUCUGCGUCCUAUUAGCUUGUUGGUGGGGUAACGGCCUACCAAGGCAAUGAUGGGUAGUGGGUGUGAGAGCACGACCCGCGUCACUGGGACUGAGAUACUGCCCAGACACCUACGGGUGGCUGCAGUCGAGGAUCUUCGGCAAUGGGCGCAAGCCUGACCGAGCGACGCCGCGUGCGGGAUGAAGGCCUUCGGGUUGUAAACCGCUGUCAGAGGGGAUGAAAUACAGGUGGGUUCUCCCAUCUGCUUGACAUAUCCUCAGAGGAAGUACGGGCUAAGUUCGUGCCAGCAGCCGCGGUAAGACGAACCGUACGAACGUUAUUCGGAAUCACUGGGCUUAAAGGGUGCGUAGGCGGCGCGGAAAGUUGGGUGUGAAAUCCCUCGGCUCAGCCGAGGAACUGCGCCCAAAACUGCCGUGCUCGAGGGAGACAGAGGUGAGCGGAACUUAGGGUGGAGCGGUGAAAUGCGUUGAUAUCCUAAGGAACACCGGUGGCGAAAGCGGCUCACUGGGUCUCUUCUGACGCUGAGGCACGAAAGCUAGGGUAGCGAACGGGAUUAGAUACCCCGGUAGUCC
rnacentral:rRNA from 1 species